rnacentral:sRNA from 1 species
CAUCAUCACCAUCACCCUGACUAGUCUUUCAGGCGAUGUGUGCUGGAAGACGUUUAACGAAUCUUCCAGUGGCGGCAGAACGCGACAGAAAAGCCCCCGGAAGAUUCUUCCGGGGGCUUUUUUU